rnacentral:rRNA from 1 species
GGAAUUGACGGGGGCCCGCACAAGCAGCGGAGCGUGUGGUUUAAUUCGAUGUUACACGAAGAACCUUACCAGGGUUUGACAUGCAAGUGGUAGGAAGCCGAAAGGUGACCGACCCUUCGGGGAGCUUGCACAGGUGCUGCAUGGCUGUCGUCAGCUCGUGUCGUGAGAUGUUCGGUUAAGUCCGCUAACGAGCGCAACCCUCGCUGUGUGUUAUAUGUGUCACACGGGACUGCCGGUCUUAAGCCGGAGGAAGGUGGGGAUGAUGUCAAGUCAUCAUGGCCCUUAUGUCCAGGGCUACACACGUGCUACAAUGGGCGAGACAGAGCGACGCGAAGCCGCGAGGUGGAGCAAAUCGCAGAAAAUCGCCCUCAGUUCGGAUUGGAGUCUGAAACCCGACUCCAUGAAGGUGGAAUCGCUAGUAAUCGCGCAUCAGCAUGGCGCGGUGAAUACGUUCCCGGGCCUU